AGCGAACGUUUGCGGCGGGCUUAACACAUGCAAGUCGAACGGGCUGUUCCUUCGGGGGCAGUCAGUGGCGCACGGGUGCGUAACACGUAGGUAAUCAACCCUCUGGUUGGGGAUAACACUUCGAAAGGAGUGCUAAUACCCGGUAUGGCGCAGCGGUCUUCGGAUCGCGGCGAGAAAGACCCGCAAGGGUUGCCAGAGGACGAGCCUGCGGCCCAUCAGCUAGUUGGCGAGGUAACGGCUCACCAAGGCGAAGACGGGUAGCUGGUCUGAGAGGAUGAUCAGCCACACUGGAACUGAGACACGGUCCAGACUCCUACGGGAGGCAGCAGUGGGGAAUAUUGGACAAUGGGCGCAAGCCUGAUCCAGCCACGCCGCGUGUGUGAAGAAGGCCUCGGUUGUAAG
rnacentral:rRNA from 1 species